rnacentral:rRNA from 1 species
CCUACGGGUGGCAGCAGUGAGGAAUAUUGGUCAAUGGACGAGAGUCUGAACCAGCCAAGUAGCGUGAAGGAUGACUGCCCUCUGGGUUGUAAACUUCUUUUAUAUGGGAAUAAAAUGUUCCACGUAUGGGCUUUUGUAUGUACCAUAUGAAUAAGGAUCGGCUAACUCCGUGCCAGCAGCCGCGGUAAUACGGAGGAUCCGAGCGUUAUCCGGAUUUAUUGGGUUUAAAGGGAGCGUAGGUGGUUUGUUAAGUCACUUGUGAAAUUUUGCGGCUCAACCGUAAAAUUGCAGUUGAAACUGGCAGUCUUGAGUACAGUAGAGGUGGGCGGAAUUCGAGGUGUAGCGGUGAAAUGCGUAGAUAUCACGAGGAACUCCGAUGGCGAAGGCAGCUCUCUGGACUGCAACUGACACUGAGGCGCGAAAGUGUGGGUAUCAAACAGGAUUAGAUACCCGGGUAGUC